UGAGUGAUGGAGUGGGUUGCCAACUAUAGUGACUCCACUCAGCAUGCGGGAUAGCUGUGGGGAAUACAUUCAGACAUGCACAAAGAAGUCUGCCCAGGGGGAGACACAUACCUUUGAGGUGUAAAUCAGAAAGGAAGGAGAGGCUGUUUCUACAGGUGUCAUAGAAAAAUCAAUACUGAGCCACGGAUUAUUGGAUCCCAUAGAACCAUGGAGACUUGGCAGUGAAAUUCUUCCAAAGGUUCUCCUAGAUUUCGAAAAGUUGAAAAGCUAUCCAUGACACAUUGGUUGUUUUAUCACAUUGCUUAGCAUUCCAUCCAUUCAGGCAAACGGUGUUCCUAGGUUUGGAAGUAUAAAUCCCAGGGGAAGUGAGCUGAAGAACAUUUCAUGCAUCACUCAUCCUAUUAUGAGCCCUGUGCUGUUCCAUCUCUCUACAAGACUGGCUGAAACAACAACAAAAAUUGUUUGUAAUUUGUAUUCUAACUUUGGAUCACCUAGUUAAUACCCUGACUCUGACUACCCAGAAAGACAAGGUUGUGUAGGAAGAACUGUCUAUUAGAAAGCUGCUGCUUUAUUAAUAAAAUCGCAGGGAAAAUGUGACAUUCUGGAUGUUCCAU